AGUGAACGCUGGCGGUAGGCCUAACACAUGCAAGUCGAACGGCAGCACAGUAAGAGCUUGCUCUUACGGGUGGCGAGUGGCGGACGGGUGAGGAAUACAUCGGAAUCUACUUUUUCGUGGGGGAUAACGUAGGGAAACUUACGCUAAUACCGCAUACGACCUACGGGUGAAAGCAGGGGAUCUUCGGACCUUGCGCGAUUGAAUGAGCCGAUGUCGGAUUAGCUAGUUGGCGGGGUAAAGGCCCACCAAGGCGACGAUCCGUAGCUGGUCUGAGAGGAUGAUCAGCCACACUGGAACUGAGACACGGUCCAGACUCCUACGGGAGGCAGCAGUGGGGAAUAUUGGGCAAAGGGCGCAAGCCUGAUCCAGCCAUACCGCGUGAGUGAAGAAGGCCUUCGGGUUGUAAAGCCCUUUUGUUGGGAAAGAAAAGCAGCAGGUGAAUACCCCGCUGUUCUGACGGUACCCAAAGAAUAAGCACCGGCUAACUUCGUG
rnacentral:rRNA from 1 species